GUGGGGAAUAUUGGGCAAUGGGCGAAAGCCUGACCCAGCAACGCCGCGUGAAGGAAGAAGGUUUUCGGAUCGUAAACUUCUAUCCUUGGUGAAGAUAAUGACGGUAGCCAAGAAGGAAGCCCCGGCUAACUACGUGCCAGCAGCCGCGGUAAUACGUAGGGGGCAAGCGUUGUCCGGAAUGAUUGGGCGUAACGGGCGCGUAGGCGGCCCGGUAAGUCUGAAGUGAAAGUCCUGCUUUUAAGGUGGGAAUUGCUUUGGAUACUGUCGGGCUUGAGUGCAGGAGAGGUAAGCGGAAUUCCCGGUGGAGCGGUGAAAUGCGUAGAGAUCGGGAGGAACACCAGUGGCGAAGGCGGCUUACUGGACUGUAACUGACGCUGAGGCGCGAAAGUGUGGGGAGCAAACAGGAUUAGAAACCCUUGUAGUCC
rnacentral:rRNA from 1 species